rnacentral:tRNA from 1 species
GGUCGCGUGGCCGAGUGGUUAGGCACUGGUCUGCAAAACCAGCUACAGCGGUUCAAAUCCGCUCGCGACCU